rnacentral:rRNA from 1 species
AGCAGUCAAGAAUAUUAGUCAAUGCUCGCAAGAGUGAACUAGCUAACUGAAAUCAUAAAAUCACUCAGUGGUAAUAUGAUAACGUAAGGGAAAAAUUUGAUAUUACCUUACUAUUAGUGUUGUCCAAAUCUGGUGCCAGAAGACUCGGUAAGGCCGGAGACGCAAACGUUAGUCGUCCUAAACAGGCGUAAAGGGUAAGUAGGCAGCUUUGAAAGUUCUAUUUAUAAAUAGCUCUAAAAAAACACCUUAUUUUUAUCUUUAUUGUUUUCAAAAAAAAACAAAAAACAAAAGUAAGGGAAUAGAAUAAAUAAACGAUUAAAAGCUAGAAUCAUAAAGAAGAUAAGCCAAAUAAUACUUAGAGUAGGAGUGAUAUCUGGAAAUACUAAGGGGAAUACUAACGGUGUAAACUUUUAUCUAUUAAUGAUUGACGCUGAGGAACGAAGGUGAGAACAGGAAAUAGGAUUAGAGACCCAGAUACCUCUCACUGUAAACGAUGAAUGGUGGUUGUUAGUAAUAAUAAAACUGGCAGCUAUGUUAACACGAUAACCAUUCCGCCUUGCGAGUACGGUUGCAAAACUGAAACCAAAAAAAUUAGUCGGUCUCGAAGCAAACGAAGUGAAGCAUGUUAUUUAAUUCGAUAAUCCGCA